UUGCUAUCUGCGAUAUGGAAGAUUCGAACCUGCCGCAGGUUCGGGUCGAACGCAGUGAGACAACGGAGCCGUUUACGGCGACGGCCCGAAGGGCGAGCGAAGCGAGUCAUCCUGCACGACCCAUCA
rnacentral:sRNA from 18 species